rnacentral:tRNA from 1 species
UAGAAAAUAGUUUAAUAGAAAAACCAAGAAAUUUGAAUUCUUCAACAUAAGUGCAACCCUUGUUUUUCUAA